AUCACUAGCAUUGGAACGUUGGCGAGCCGUGGAUUAGGCAUGUCAACGUCGGACGCCAGUCGGCGACUCGUGGCGAAAGGGUGAGUACUACGACGCGUAACCAACCUCCUGCGGAGGUGGGACAGCCACGGGAAACUGUGGGUAGAUCCCCCAUGACGCCGGUCUCGGAGCGCCUCUCGAGCUGGCCAAAGGUGCGACUCCGCCGCGGGACGGGCUGUCGUGGUAUCAGGUUGUUGGUGGGGUGACGGCCCACCAAGCCGAUGACGCCUAGCGGGCGUGCGAGCGUGGCCCGCCACACUGGGACUGAGCACACUGCCCAGACACCUACGGGUGGCUGCAGUCGAGAAUCUUCGGCAAUGGUCGACAGACUGACCGAGCGACGCCGCGUGGAGGACGAAUGGCCUUCGGGUUGUAAACUCCUGAUCGGGCGGAACAAGGUGGCGCGAAGAGCGUCGCUUGAGUGAUCCCUGGGUGGAAGCACGAUGUAAGUUCGUGCCAGCAGCCGCGGUAAGACGAACCGUGCGAACGUUAUGUCGGAAUCACUGGGCUUAACAUGCGUGUAGGCGGAUGGCCGCGUCGGUCGCUGAAAGCCUCUCGGCUCAACCGGCGGGACCGGCGCCGAAGACGGCCGUCUGGAGGAGGCGUAGGGGGAGCUGGAACUCACGGUGGAGCGGUGAAAUGCGUUGAGAUCGUGAGGAACGCCCGCGGCGAACAGCGAGCUCCUGGACGCCUGCUGACGCUGAGACGCGAAAGCCAGGAACGCGAACGGGAUUAGAUACCCCGGUAGUCCUGGCCGUAAUACCAUGAGCAGACGUAGGGCGGCUCGCCGAUGGGUCCCCUGCCGCAGCGAAAUGCGUGAAGUGCUCCGCCUGGGGAGUAUGGCCGCAAGGCUGAAACUCAAAGGAAUUGACGUAUGCUCACACAAGCGGUGGAGCAUGUGGCUUAAUUCGAGGCUACGCGAAGAACCUUGAUCCAUCGCUUGACAUGCACGGAUUAGCCUCCUGAACUAAGGUGACGCCUUCGGGUGGAGUGUGCACCUUGUAGCUGCAUGUAGGUCGUCAGCUCGUGCUCGUGUCAAGUUGGGUUAAGUCGCCGUAACGAGCGUAGACGCCUUGCGACCAGUUGCCAAGACGUAACGGUGGUGGACUCUGGUCGGACCGCCUGGCGUCAAUAUCGGAGGACAGGCGUACGACUGACGUCAAGUCAUCAUGUAUCUUAUGCCUCUGGGGCUGCACACGUGCUACAAUGGGCCGGACAGAGGCGUCGCCACUGCGCAAGCAGGAGCCAAUCGCAGAAACCGGCCCUCAGUCUCGGAUUGUGGGCUGCAACUCCGCCCACAUUGCAAGCUGGACAUCGCUAGUAAGUCGCAGGAUCAGCAGUGCCGCCGUGUGAGAUGGGUUAGACGAUGGUGAUG
rnacentral:rRNA from 1 species